rnacentral:lncRNA from 1 species
AGUUUGGCGUUGAAAUCAAUUACUAGUUUAUAUGGGUAUAUAGUUGGCUAUUUAUGUCCAAGUUCAGGAAAGACACUAGAUUUGAAGAAAAACAAUUAGUAGCCAAUAGCUUGUAGAUGACAUUUAAAGGCAUGGGACAGAAUGAGCUCAUCUGAGGAAAGAAGAUAGUUAAAGAACAGGGCCAAGGGCCAAGCUGUGGCCUUAAGCCAAUAUUUUGAGGUCAGGAAAAGAAGAAAUUCAACAUAAGGAAUGACAAUGAGCUAGGAAAAGCAGAAAGGAUGUGACCAACUGUGUUAAAUGCUGCCAAGAGGUAAAACAUGAUGAAGUCCAGUAAUUGACUGUAGGGUCUGGUAGGACAGAGGUCAUGGUUGCUGAUCUAAAAGAAAACUGUUUUGUAGCAAUACUGGAGAUGCAAGCCUCAGUAAAGUGAGCUGAAGGACAUAAACAUAACCAAUAAGAAAGAAGAGGUGUAGACAAUUGUUUCCAGGAGUAUAGCUUUAAAAGCAGAGAAAAAGAUAAGUUGGUAGAUGGUAUGUGGAAGACAUACUGUUGAGAGACUGAGUUUUAUUUCUUUGUUUUAUUGUUUCUUUUAGAAUGGCUGAUAUUAGACAUGCAUGUGCAUACAGCAAAGGGAGUAACCCAAUAGUGAGGAAGAAAUUGAUGCUGUAGGAGAGAGGGAAUAAUUGCCGAAGCAAAGAUCUUGAGGUACUGAGAAAGGAUGACCUUAAUUUCCUUAAUGAUGCAGCCUGCUUCCACCGAGGGACUGAAGGCUCUUUGAGCAAAAUUAUCUACCUGUUCACCUUUGGAUCUUUCACAGUUCCCAGGUGUCUUACUGGAAGGCUGUGGGCCGAUGCCAGGUGACAUGAUAGACAAUUACUGGACUAAUUUGCAAAGCGCAUUUCUGAAGUCACAUUUUUUGCUUGACAUGGAUUCCAUCUUCACAGAGAAGAUGUGGAAACUGAGACCCAGAGAAGUUCUCUUACCCGCCCAUGUUCACACAAUGAAAAUGACCUGAACCUGGACCCACUGGUUCCAAGUUUGGUGCUCUUUCCACCACCACAGGUGAGACAACUAGGUCCUGAGGGUUUAAAUGUGGAAUUUCUUUUUGAGCGAGAAGUCUCCUUCUACUUUAUAUAUGAUUUGAAUUUUAAAUGUUAUUUAUCUAUCAAUAAAACUAAUAUGGGGCUCUGUAAAUUUUCCUAACACCAAUUUCAUUUUAUGGAGUACACUGCAGCAGUCAUAAACUCAGGGUUCUAUUAUUUAAGUUAGUUAAGUUACUUUAAGAUUGUACAAAGAGGCCAAUUUUAUCACACGGUUACUGCUAUUUUGUCAUUUUAACAUAGACAGGUUAAUUUAAGAAAAGAAAGUAAUUUCAAAGGCAGUAAGCCACAAUGGUAUAGAAAAGGC